rnacentral:rRNA from 1 species
GACAGAGGGUGCAAACGUUGUUCGGAUUUACUGGGCGUAAAGCGCGUGUAGGCGGCUUUGCAAGUCGGAUGUGAAAGCCCACGGCUCAACCGUGGAAGUGCAUCCGAAACUGCAUGGCUUGAGUCUCGGAGAGGAAGGUGGAAUGCUUGGUGUAGAGGUGAAAUUCGUAGAUAUCAAGCAGAACACCAGUGGCGAAGGCGGCUCACUGGCUCGAUACUGACGCUGAGGUGCGAAAGCGUGGGGAGCGAACAGG